UAUAACAGGAGCCCAGGCUAUUGUCUCAGCUGCGAUAUGAAGGGGGACUUGUCAUAUCCAACCCCGGUCCCUAGCCUGGAGCUACCGGGGGGAUAAAAAAAAAAAAAAGAAAACAGUGGUGAGUUCUCCAUGAAACAACCAAUUUCUAGCAGCGAGUACUGCUCUGUCAAAGAAACACCAUCUCCAAUCAAGACCUAGCACCACCGAGGCAGCAACAGAAACAACAGAUAUAAAACAGUACAAUACACCAAAAGCAGAAAAGACGCCAGGAAAGGGCUGGCUCUUGGCCAAGGCUGAAAUGUAGCCACCACUAUGACCUUCAUGACAAGAAUGACAGCCCCUAGUGCAGAACAGCUCUCGUGGAAGGGCUGAAGACAAUGGAGGGACUCGGGAGCAAUGAAGUGCGCCCUGGAAAGCACUGCGAUGACAAAAUGAAAGGUUAACCUUUAGCACCCCACCUCCAUCCUCUCCCGGUCCCUGUGGCAUUCUUAUUGACUUGCUUACCACUGUGGUUCUUAAGAGAGAACAGGUGUGGUUUCCAGUUGCAGUCCCCUGUUGCUAUGGUUAUUCUGCUAAUCAGGUAAAUAGCGCAGCUGGGUAAAGAGAUAUAAAAUAAAACAAAAAAAAAAAAAUGUUCAAUGGGCCGAAUGCAGCCAGGCAGACGCUGCACUCCAAAAAUAG